rnacentral:ribozyme from 18 species
UCUUGUGCACGCUCCAUCCAACCUAUUGACUUGGCACUUGUAAAUCAAAGAAAUCAAGUCGAAAUGACACAACAGUGAACACAAAAAAUUUAAAAUAAAUGAAACAUAUUUUAUUGUCUCUUCUCGAUC